rnacentral:rRNA from 1 species
AACGAACGCUGGCGGCAGGCUUAACACAUGCAAGUCGAACGCAUCCUUCGGGAUGAGUGGCAGACGGGUGAGUAACGCGUGGGAAUCUACCUAUCUCUAGGGAAUAACUCAGGGAAACUUGUGCUAAUACCCUAUACGCCCUUUUGGGGAAAGAUUUAUCGGGGAUAGAUGGGCCCGCGUUGGAUUAGCUAGUUGGUGGGGUAAAGGCCUACCAAGGCGACGAUCCAUAGCUGGUCUGAGAGGAUGAUCAGCCACAUUGGGACUGAGACACGGCCCAAAGUCCUACGGGAGGCAGCAGUGGGGAAUAUUGCACAAGGGGGGAAACCCUGAUGCAGCGACGCCGCGUGAAGGAAGAAGGUUUUCGGAUCGUAAACCUCUGUUCUUGGAGAAGAGAGAAAGACGGUAUCCAAGGAGGAAGCCCCGGCUAACUACGUGCCAGCAGCCGCCGUAA